AAAAGACAUUCAGAAAAAAACCCUGCAUGCACAUUUGGGCUACACAGAAACCACUCCCGACAGUGAAUUAAGGGCAUCUCGGCAAAGGCAGCUAAUUCAUGGGUCUUAAAUCAAUCAGGGAGUGAAAAUACAGUUUUGGUAAAAGCUGAGGCUUUCUUUUCUGCAGGUUACGAUUUCAGUGAUCCAGAGGGAAAGCUAAAGCUCGUGGGUGCACAGAAAAAUGUCUGAAGGCGUGGGACAGAGAACCGGCUCCCAUUGAGUCUGUUCAGAGCCAAAUCCUUGUGACGAGCCGUGCGCUGCCCGCUACACCUUACUACGGAUGUUAUCUUACAAGACAGGGCCAGUCUCCUCUCCAUUCCCUCCCGGGAUUGUUUCCGCUUUCCUUAGCAUCCUCCAGCGACCAGCGCCCACAGCCUCUCAGGAAAGCUCCAGACACAAAAGCAAAGCGAGCGCCUCUACCAAGUAAAAAGCUCAGGAGCAUCUAACAACACGUCCAUAGAAUUCAGCUCGUUAAAAACCCAUUCCUGUUGCCAGCUUCUGCUGCUUCCUUCCAUUCCCUGGAACAAGAAGAGAGAGCAGUUCAGCCACUGACCUGAAUGUUAAACACUAGCAAACUAAACCAGGAGUGCAGCCACGAGUAUACACAUCUCUGAUGGUGAUUGCUCCCAGGGAUGCAUGUGACAGCACUGCCAGGCAGCCAGACUGGCCUGUCUAACCUGUUCUCACCAUGUGCAUCAUCUCAUGGUGAUGGGAGAGUGACUUGGGCAGUGUCCUCCAUGGUGAACCACAUCACCUCGUGAGCUUGAACCCCCUGGCAGAAUAUAGGGAGACAGUGUUCCAGAUGAGGUAAGAAAGAACAUUUUGGCUACAUGGAUUGCAAAACAGACCAUGCUCUGCCUCUGCAAAUUUUUGCAGAUGUGUUGAGUUGUCACUUUGUUGACUGUUGUGACCUUGAUAUUCCAUCCUGAGUGUCUGUACGCUGCCUUACUGGCACGCUAACCCUGGCUGGGUGCUCUGCAAGCAAUUCUCCUCAGAACCACAGCAACAACAACAGUGAUAUAGUAACAUAAAUAGGCUCUUGUGAGUGCACAUUUUUACUUUGAUUUAAUAACAGCAAUGUCUGACAGUAGAAACAACUGAUUUCAGAGUAAAAACGUCAGAAGAAGUUAACCAAUGGAGACCUGUUCAUAUGUGUGCUUCCAUCACUCCAGAGCCAUGCUGGAGCCUGAACGUACAGGCAGCAACACUGGGUCUCUGAAGAGAAAAUCUUUGUGUUGUGACUUAGAGAUCUUUUACAACCUAAAUGAUUCUGUGAUUCUGUGGUUCCUUCCUACUGAUCCUGACCUGUGAUGUGUAACUAUGAGGGAGAAAGUCAAUUUGCCUACUCUCCUGAUCAGGAACAGCUGUAAUUCUCACACCAACCUAAUCCACUAAAUGUCUCUGCCCUGAAACUCAGCAGAGUAACUUAGGCAAUCAGACUCCAGGGUGAUAAAGUUGAAAAAACAAACAAACAAACAAAAAACAAACA